rnacentral:rRNA from 1 species
GACGAACGCUGGCGGCGUGCUUAACACAUGCAGGUCGAGCGGAAAGGCCCUUCGGGGUACUCGAGCGGCGAACGGGUGAGUAACACGUGAGUAACCUGCCCUUGGCUCUGGGAUAGCUCCGGGAAACCGGAUUAAUACCGGAUAUGACCUCGGCCGACAUCGGCUGUGGUGGAAAAGNUUUAUCGGCCAGGGAUGGGCUCGCGGCCUAUCAGCUAGUUGGUGGGGUAACGCCUACCAAGGCGACGACGGGUAGCCGGCCUGAGAGGGCGACCGGCCACACUGGGACUGAGACACGGCCCAGACUCCUACGGGAGGCAGCAGGUGGGGAAUAUUGGUCAAUGGACGCAAGUCUGAACCAGCCAUGCCGCGUGGAGGAUGAA